UACGUAGGGUGCAGGCGUUAAUCGGAAUUACUGGGCGUAAAGCGUGCGCAGGCGGUUUGCUAAGACAGGUGUGAAAUCCCCGGGCUUAACCUGGGAACUGCGCUUGUUACUGGCAGGCUUGAGUGUGGCAGAGGGGGGGUGGAAUUCCACGUGUAGCAGUGAAAUGCGUAGAGAUGUGGAGGAACACCGAUGGCGAAGGCAGCCCCCUGGGCUAACACGUGACGCUCGAUGCACGAAAGCGUGGGGAGCGAAACAGG
rnacentral:rRNA from 1 species